UGCAGCUGGUUAAUGGACACUGAGUGAAGUUGGUUAAGUGCUGAGGUGAAAAGGUCUCGACCUCGGAGGAUUGUUAAGAAGUGAAGAGGAUGUGAUCAGGGUGAAGGAGAGGUUUUAAUGAGGCUUCUGACUUUUUCGAAGCAUUUGGCUGUUUUGCAAUUCAACAACUAAUUUCGGCCGUGAAGAAAGACAACCGCCAUCAUGUCUGACAAGAAGAUGAAUUCGAGCCGCAGGCAUCAUCUGAAGGUACG